rnacentral:rRNA from 1 species
UACGUAGGUGGCAAGCGUUGUCCGGAUUUACUGGGCGUAAAGAGCGCGCAGGCGGUCUUUUAAGUCGAAUGUGAAAGCCCCCGGCUCAACUGGGGAGGGUCAUUCGAUACUGAUCGACUUGAAGGCAGGAGAGGGUAGUGGAAUUCCCGGUGUAGUGGUGAAAUUCGUAGAUAUCGGGAGGAACACCGGUGGCGAAGGCGGCGACCUGGGUAGAUACUGACGCUGAGGUGCGAAAGCGUGGGGAGCAAACAGG